AACGAACGCUGGCGGCAUGCCUAACACAUGCAAGUCGAACGAGAUCUUCGGGUCUAGUGGCGCACGGGUGCGUAACGCGUGGGAAUCUGCCCUUUGGUUCGGAAUAACAGUUGGAAACGACUGCUAAUACCGGAUGAUGACGAAAGUCCAAAGAUUUAUCGCCAGAGGAUGAGCCCGCGUAGGAUUAGCUAGUUGGUGUGGUAAAGGCGCACCAAGGCGACGAUCCUUAGCUGGUCUGAGAGGAUGAUCAGCCACACUGGGACUGAGACACGGCCCAGACUCCUACGGGAGGCAGCAGUGGUGAAUAUUGGACAGUGGGCGAAAGCCUGAUCCAGCAAUGCCGCGUGAGUGAUGAAUGCCUUAGGGUUGUAAAGCUCUUUUACCCGGGAUGAUAAUGACAGUACCGGGAGAAUAAGCUCCGGCUAACUCCGUGCCAGCCGCCGCAGUAA
rnacentral:rRNA from 1 species